CACGGUCGCGCGUCCCGAGUCGCCUAGUGUGUUUUUGACAUCGGUAAACGCAGUCGUGAACUUCGGAGCGCAUAGAUACUUUUAUUUAUAGUUUAAAUCGAAUAAAGUCGCUUUGCGUUUGUGAAUACCUGUGCUCAAUCGGGAUACAAUAAAUAUGAGUAUUGCUGCUCUAAUUCAAGCUGCUGAAUACAUCGAAAGGCGCGAUAGAGUGUACUUUGUUGCAGAAGCUGAGCACGGAUACGCGUCGAGUUUACCGGCGUACGAAGAGUCCCGGUCAGGCGGCAGGCGGCCGAAGACCAAGAAAUCGCAGGGCAGCAGGACGACUCAUAACGAGUUGGAAAAACAGGUGAGUGUUUAU